CUCCUACUUCAACCUCACAAGUAGCUGGGAUUACAGGAAACCAACCAUCAGGCCUGUCAGAUGAUAUCAAGGAACUGAAAUUUACUGGAUCACUGCAUCUGAACAAUGGAGCAAAUGGGGCACCAUAUCCUUCAACCAUUUUGAUUGACUAACUGAGCACCUGCUUCCUGUUGGUGAACUUAUCUUCCUCAUUUCUUCCUAGUUCCUGUUUGCCCACACAUGGUCACAUUUCUUACCUGCUAGAUAAAACUAUAGCUUUAGUCCAUCAGAGAGAUGGAUUUGAGACUGAUAGCCUAUCUUCUUGGCUGCAGUGCCCAAAGAGUACCUUUAUCCUUGGCAAUACUCUUUGUCUCAGUGACUGGCUUUUUAUACUGUUAGUAGCAGGAUAUAGACAAAAACCUUGGAGUUUUAAUAACAAGACUUCAGGUCUGUUGAUAAAGAAUAUGUAUUUUCUUGGACUUCUUGAAUGAUUCUUAGACAUAUUAAAGUCUGAGAACCAUUGUUUUAAUCUACAAACAUUUAAUUUUCUCUUUCUUUACCUUUACAUGUUUGCUUAAACGUUUUUCUCUCCUAUGUAAAGAAUAAGUCCCUUUACCUGUAGAAGGAAUACUGAAAUAAUUGAUCACCACUGCUUAUUGCUUUAUUUGCACAUAGUAAGAUUUAAGAAAUCCUUACGGAAUGUAUACAAUGUACUAGUUACCUUUGCUGGACAAGACUCAUUGUUAAAUGUUCUCAUUAAAAUAACUUUUUUAAAAAAUUUAUUUAUUAAUAUGUCCCUUAGGAGUACAAACUCAUUCUUCUGAAAUGCUUUUACUGGUCUGUGACUCUAUAGAAACUCAAGCAGAUUAUAAGGACACUUAAUCCAAAAGUAAUAGUGAUUGCAUUUGUGACAGCAUGGGCUCAAUAACAAACAAAGAGGUCAUUUCCAGUAGCACUGUAAUGUUAUGGGAAGGCAACUUACAAUUUUAAAUUCAUGCUCACCCACUAAUUAUCUUUAUGACCUUAGAAACUUUAUUUAUUAUUUGAGCACAUUAAGCCUCUCCUUUUCAUUUUUACAGGUGUAAGAUAGGAAUAGAAAAAGCAAUAUCAAAUAAUAGUGUAAAAAUUGCAUCCAAAGUAGUGGUGAAGAAUGCUGGUCUCAGUGGUAGUGAGUUUUCAAAAGCCAGAAUAAUGAACUCAAGUCCUUCAGAGGGAACUCAAUCAGAGCAGAGUGGUUCUCAUUCUUCAUCUCUGUUUUCGCUCAGGAUGUACAAAAUGCAGCUUGGAAAUUGAACUGUACGAAAAUUAAGAAGAAAGCAACAAGCAUACCUAGCGCCCAGAGAUUGGUUUCUAAUAUCAUUCUCCAAUAAAAGAAAAAAGCACUCCUAAAAGAAAUGACUACUUCUAUUACUAGAGAAGAAAAUAUCCAAGAUGAGCCCAGAGCAUCUUGGAGUACUAGAAGGAGGCAGAGCAUGGCUCCUUACAUCCUAAGUGUGACCUGCACAUAGUGACUUUCUUUUAAUGUGGAAUGGAGGGAGAAGAGGAAAUUUACAGUGGAAAAACCUGAAAAACACUACCUAAACCAGGAGAUAGAAGUCAAAAUGAACAGUGUGAUGACAUGUAUAUAGCAUAUAGCCUUUAUAUGAUGAAAAUGGCAUUUUACUUCUCUGGUAUUCCUUCCCAAAACCCAUCAUCUCAAUCUAAUAAUGAAUGACGUUAGAUAAAUCCCAAUAGAGAUAAUCUACAAAAUAUCUGAGGAAUACUCCUCAAACUAUUAAGUUUGUCAAAAACAGGGAAAGUUCAAGAAGCUGCCACAACUGAGAGUAGCCUAAGGAUACACAGAUGACUAAGUGUAGGGUGGCAUUUUCAAUGGGAUACUAGAAUUUUAAAACAUGACAUUAGGUUAAAAACUGAAAAUAUCUGAAACAAGUAUAGAUUAACUUCAUUUUGCAAUAAUACAUCAAUAUUACUUCAUUGUCA